rnacentral:rRNA from 1 species
AGGGAGAGUACGAGUUCGCAGGCCUGCCUGCUGACUUUGUUUAACGGCCGCCGUACCCUACCCGUGCAAAGGUAUCACUUUCACUUGUUCCGUAGACUUGGAUCUGUAUGAAUGGCUCCGUUAGGGUGCCUCUGCUUUUUACUUUUAACCAUUGAAAUUGCCCUGCCCAAGAAGAGGUGGGCAUAUCACACCAAAACAACCAGAGCCUAUGGAGA